rnacentral:rRNA from 1 species
GAUUAACGCUGGCGGCGUGCAUAACACAUGCAAGUCGAACGAUGAAACUUAGUAGACUUCUUCGGAAAGACACUAAGCGGCUUAGUGGCGAACGGGUGAGUAACGCGUGAGUAACCUGCCUUACACAAGGGGAUAGCCUUUGGAAACGAAGAAUAAUACCCUAUAAAACCAUAAAAGCACAUGCUAGAAUGGUCAAAGUGAUAGCGGUGUAAGAUGGACUUGCGUCUGAUUAGCUAGUUGGUGAGAUAAAAGCUCACCAAGGCAACGAUCAGUAGCCGGCUUGAGAGAGUGUACGGCCACAUUGGGACUGAGACACGGCCCAGACUCCUACGGGAGGCAGCAGUGGGGAAUUUUGCACAAUGGGGGAAACCCUGAUGCAGCGACGCCGCGUGAUUUAGAAGGCCUUCGGGUUGUAAAAAUCUUUUGUAUAGGAAGAAAAUGACAGUACUAUACGAAUAAGGCCCGGCUAAUUACGUG